rnacentral:rRNA from 1 species
CAAUAGCGUAUAUUUAAGUUGCUGCAGUUAAAAAGCUCGUAGUUGGAUUUCGGGUGGGAAUGGCCGGUCCGCCGUUUCGGUGUGCACUUGCUACGCCCACCUUGCUGCCGGGGACGUGCUCUUGAGUUCACGCUCGGGACACGGAGUCGGCGAGGUUACUUUGAGUAAAUUAGAGUGUUCAAAGCAGGCCUACGCUCUGAAUACAUUAGCAUGGAAUAACACGAUAGGACUCUGGCCUAUCUUGUUGGACUGUAGGACCGGAGUAAUGAUUAAGAGGGACAGUCGGGGGCAUUCGUAUUUCAUUGUCAGAGGUGAAAUUCUUGGAUUUAUGAAAGACGAACUACUGCGAAAGCAUUUGCCAAGGAUGUUUUCAUUAA